rnacentral:tRNA from 1 species
AGGAAUGUAGUUAAUUUAUAAUAUUUAAUUUGCAAUUAAAAGUUAUUUUAUAAAAAUUGUUCUUA